ACAGCUCAGAUUAGCAGGCAACAGCAACACAGACUGGGGCCAGCUGGCAGCAGCCUCAGCUGAAUUACCAAACUGGAGAAGAUGCCGAGGUCUAUGUGAGCAAAGCUGCAAAGGUCUGUCUCCCAGCAUAGCCUUCCCCUCUCUGCACUGAACAGGGGAAUCAUCAGUGUCUUCAUUAUGGAUAAUCUCCAGAGCCCAUGAAACAGCAAAGGCCAAAGCCUGGCUUUAGUGAAGUCAAGUGGGACCCUUGCC
rnacentral:lncRNA from 12 species